AAUAAUAUACCGAACAAAAUAUUGAUGCAUCUAUUAAGAAUUUAUGGCUUACUAGUUUUCUUCGAUAUUGAUUGCGAUGGCAAGGCUGGCGAUCAGGAGGUGAACGUUGCGCGCGGUGAUCGGCUCGUUUAUGGUGAUGUAGCGGUUGAAGCGGGUGCAAGCGCCGACGUUCGCCGCGAUCCUUGCGCGGAGCGCGGGGACGUGGGAGCCCACUCUCGGAGUUGCACCGGGGCCAUGGAUGAACUCUCGCGCCAUGGUUACGUAUGGUUAAAGGUUUUCGUGAGAGAGGUUGAUUUAUAUAUUUAUAUAAG
rnacentral:lncRNA from 1 species